GAAGACAACAGUGAUUCUGGAUGAAACAGAGAAGAUAUUGUAGGACAUCUGAGAUAAUCUGUGGGACAGACAACACAGAAGUGACAGGGUGGGGUCAUCAUGACGUCACAAAGGUUUUUUCGGAGCCUACGACUCAGGAGAUCCCUGGCCCUGGGGCACCAGUGACCAAGCACUCCGUGUCUUUGUUCUCGGAUUCUGAGAAGACACCGCAGGAGACCACCAUCAAUACAAACCCCAGGCCCCAAGCAAACUCCCUCCUCUUUCCUUUCCCAGUCUCCCAAAUGCUCUGUCUGUAUCUAUACUCCCGCUAUGUCUUUAAUAAACUCUGUUUAUUACUUC